CGCGAGGGAGGGGCGCCCACCCGGGCGGCGCGGGGUCCCCCGGACGGUCCCUUCCCGGGACCGAGAGGGCACGUGCCACUCGCUGGGUGUUGCAGAGGAGGAGAAAAAGGGGGCGCCGCGGCCCGGCCCCCCGCGAAGGUUCCACCGAGACUUGAACUCGGAUCGCUGGAUUCAGAGUCCAGAGUGCUCACCAUUACACCAUGGAACCGCCGGGGGCGGGCCUCCUCGGCUCUCCGAGCUGUGCACAGCGCCCGCCUCCGCCUCCGCCCCGCGCGCCGGCGACGCGCCUCCUGCCGGCGUCUGCUCACCUAGCGCUCGGCUCCUCGUCCGCCACGGCCCGCCGGGGCUCACCUCCUCCCUGCCGCUCCCGGGCUCGCGUCCCGGGGAGCCAGAUCGAGUCCGCUUGCGGGAGAACGACAGGGACGGGCUUUGGGGGCGCGCCCCCCGGGUGCACCUGCUCUGCCUGGAGGCCCGGACUCCUGCCCGGAGACCACCACCGUCCAGUCCAACGUAGGAAUGGACAACCCAGCCUGAGAGGACGGUGAGAAAGACUUGUCUCCCUGGUCAGGACCCUUUGGGGGUCCAUGCUGGGGAGGGAGGCGGAAUGAGGUGGCCCCAGCGGCAUGGCCGAGGCCAGGCUCGAGCAGGACAGGCUGAUCCAAGGCGACUCGGUGCCUGGGGCGACCCUACGUGGGCAACACCGCGUUCCGCAGGACUAAAUCUGGCCGGCGAAGUCCCGGGGAAUGGAGACCUGCGGCGGCCUCGCCCUCUGCAAGCCGUUUUAUGUGGCAGGACCAGGGCGCCUCCUGAUGGCCCCUCGGUGACCGCAUCCCGGGGUCCGCAUCACCUAGGACGCUGCAAGGUCUCGUCAGGAGAAAACCAGUCCAACUUCCCAGUUAGAAGAAGGUGCCCUUGAAGCGAGGCGCUUACCAAGAAAUCGCCCCCGCCUGUCCUCUGGGCCGCAUCGGGAGCCCGAGAGCCGCGCACUCAUGGCUUGGUCCUGGGAGCGCUGCCGAGUCCCGCACGAGGGCUUCGGGCCGAGUCGUAGCGCCUGCACACACGUAAUGGCCCUUUUGAGGGGCGCUGGGCACAGCCUCGCCCCCGGAGAGCUCCCAGGUCCGAAGAGUAAAACCAGACAGCAUUGCCGGCUUCAAUGCGGGACUGAGUCCUCUCCCUAUCAUGAAUCGCAAAGCUGCCCCGGCCCCUGGACCCCACCCCGCGAGCAAGACCCGCGCCCUCCACGACCCGCAGUGCUGUGGUCCGCUGUAGAUGCCUCUGGUCCCUCUGUGCCAUCUGGAGUGCAAAGUCCACAUCUGAUGACAUCUGAUGACCUAGCUGAUGGACAUCUGGAUUCCAGGAGAACUGCUGGGGCCAGAGGCUGAAGGCACAGGCAUCAAAAUCACCAAGUGGUCAGCCUCUAGGUUACUGAGGCUCAACACUUAGUAUUAUCCACACCAUUACAGGAUGCCAUUAACACUUUGAUUUGAGGGUGUCACAUCCUUACUUUUUUAUUAUUAUCAGUAGACAUUAUUUUUAAAGAACAAUUUGAGGUUUGCAGAUAAAUUAAUAAAUGAGUUCAUAUGCACUCUGUUCUCCCUCA
rnacentral:lncRNA from 12 species